UACGUAGGGUCCGAGCGUUGUCCGGAAUUACUGGGCGUAAAGAGCUCGUAGGUGGUUUGUCGCGUUGUUCGUGAAAACUCACAGCUCAACUGUGGGCGUGCGGGCGAUACGGGCAGACUAGAGUACUGCAGGGGAGACUGGAAUUCUGGUGUAGCGGUGGAAUGCGCAGAUAUCAGGAGGAACACCGAUGGCGAAGGCAGAUCUCUGGGCCGUAACUGACGCUGAGGAGCGAAAGCGUGGGGAGCGAACAGG
rnacentral:rRNA from 1 species